UUUCAAAGACGAUUUUCUGCACUUGUUUCAACAGGAGCCCCAACAAAUGAAUCAUGUAAUUUUUUCAAAUCAAGUAAUUAUAAAAAAUAUAAUAAAAUGCAGUGACCAUUUGUUUUUUACCCGUGAUCAGACAUAAUUAACCUUUUGAAAUAAACCAUCCGUCGGAUUCUAAAUAAAAGAAGUGGAUCCUCGUCGAAAUGAUUUGGAUCCAGUCAGAAACAUUUGGAAACCAGUCAAAAAUGUUUAAUACAUUGCAGUCGGCUGUCUGCAAACAUUAAAGGAUGUGCCGCGCGAGCGCUGAUUGCGUCACGUGCUAAUUACGGACCGAUUAUCAAGGUGACAAUCAGACCGAUUGACACGUUUAUUGAUUAUCUGAGGGUGCGACCAACAAUUUCCUGCUUGGCAGGUGGUCGUGUAUUGAGAUAUCAGACCGAAAUUUAUACUUUUCUCCAUUUUUACGGGACCGAUGUUUUUCGUUUUUUCACUUCACGAUUCGGUCUGAAAAGUCAAAAAUCGGUCCAAAACCGACAAACCGGCAAAUUUCCGAAGCCCUGGUCCCAAACUGUUCUGAGACAACUAAAAAUGCGCUCAUGUACAUUGUAUUAGAAUAAUUAGAUCCAUGAUUGUCUUACUCUUGCAUAAUGGUAAGAGGCAUCUUAUAGGGUCUGAAAAAUAGAUUUUGCUUAUCUUCGUGAUUCAAGCAGGUAUACUAUAAAAUCAUUUAAUUUCAUGGGCAUGAAAUUUCAUUGUUUUGGUCAAAACAGCAGUUUCGUAGAUUUCGACUUCUGAGCAUAAAAUGAAUGGGAAUUUUACUUGUUUGUUGGGAUGAAAUUUCGUGGUUUGACUCAACCACGAAAUCGACCAAAAUUAGUCGCCCAUGAAUAUUAAUGAUUUCACAGGAAAAGUUUUUAUUCCGUUCAUCAUAUUUUUAUUGCAAUAUCAGCGAGAUGUGAAACAAAAAAUUACUGGUCCUGUUUUGUGAUUUACAAGUUCUACUGUUUGUGCACCAUAAAACCAUUGUGAGCAUUUUUCAGCAUUAACUUCCUGUGUUAACGUGCAAGUGGCUUAGUUUCUAGUGUACAUUUAACCUUUUUUAUGAAAUUUUCUACAUUUAGACAGUUUUACUAGAACAUAUCAUUUAUAUAAUUGUUAAUACAAAUUUGUACAUGUUUCCAUUAUAAUCUAAUAUUAUUUAUUACUUCAUCUCAAGAUCAUUCAGGGCUUUCCAUCCUUAUAUAACAGAGGCCUAUAAAAGGCCUCUUCCCAAUCCAAAAAUAUACUAUUUUUUCCCAACUGUGGCAGAGAUAUUUCCCAAUUGCAAGGUAAGAUUUCCCAAAAUCAUGCAACAGAUGGUUAAGAUUUUGUUUACAUUUUAGUAUUUCCAGAGGAAGCCUCUGUCUGGUAUCAAUUUUUUGUCACACAAUAGCCGAACAGCCCACAGAACCAGUUGUAACACAUUGCCAGUCUAAUACGUUAUAAUCCAUGGCCUGGAUUUUAGUCCAAGUUUCAGGGGAGAUAAAUUUGCUUCGUCUUUCUAUGUUAACUUCCGGUUGAUAAUUUUUCCCAAAAUGGACAAUUACCGCGCAUAAAUUUCCCAAUUUGAAAGGCUAAGGCCUCUUCCCAAUUUCCUGAUGAAAAGCCCUGAUCAUGAAAGAAUUUAUUUUACUCAGUAAUAAAAUCAUAUCAUGCUUUGCUGCAGAUAGGUAAGAUUGUGAAAAUUUCCAGGUAAGAUUGUUUGUGAAAAUUUCCAGGUAAGAUUCUGAAAAUUUCCAGGUAAGAUUGUUUGUGAAAAUUUCCAGGUAAGAUUGCAUUUUCAGGUAAGGUUGUGAACAUUCCAGGUAAGAUUGUGAACAUUCCAUUACUAAGUUGUAUGAACAAUUUACAUUCCAACUUUGCUCGAACUCAUAGUCUAACACUUACCCUGCUAAAUUUAAAACAUACGUCCGCCCACAAUUAGAAUACUGUAACACCAUAUGGCAUCCAUGGCAGAAAAAUUUAGCAUAUGAGAUAGAGAAGGUGCAAAGAGCUGCAGCCAGGUAUGUUAUGAAUGAUUACUCAUACCAAAGCAGUGUAACAUCAAUGCUUGAAAUUCUUAAAUGGCAGACAUUAGAACAGAGAAGAAUACAUGCAUCUUUAAUUAUGUUGUAUAAAAUAUCACACAACCUCGUCUCUGUAGAUCAUAACCACCUGACAGCCUCUAGAAAUUUAAACUUUAUCAUUCCAUCUUCAAGAACACAAUAUCAUAUGAACUCCUUUUUCCCCCGCACGAUCAGAUACUGGAACGCCUUGCCUUAUAACAUCAAGGACAUAUGUACUAAUGUCAUCAUCCUGUUUUUAUUUUUAACAAAGCUGUACAUAUUACUGCUCUUACUCUCUUAACACAUGAAUAUCAUGUAUCAUGUAACAUAGCAACAUGUUUUUAAUAAAUGCCCCGACCUCCCAGUUAUGAUCAGAAAUUGAUUGUUGGGAGUAUCCCCGUAGAUGUAGAUGUAGAAAUUUCUAUAAUGGAGUAGUCCAUCAUUCAAUUUGGGCAAUACCAUUUAUUAUCCAAAGGGGUAUUCACUGAAAAUUUACUGACUGAAUAGACUUAGUGAUCUUGGUCUGCACUGGUCCAUCCAUGCUGGCUGAUCUUGGUCAGCACUGGUCGCAAAGGCAGAAUCACUUGCCACCAGCAGGCUACAGGUUAAACACCACCGGUCGCUCAUAGUCAUCGUAAGGUCCUGACAAAAUCCUUAUAUAAUGUUUAUUGUUUCACUGGCUCAAACUAAUUUCUAUAAAAGAGAUCAGUGGGUAUUUUUAUGAUUUUAAAAAAGUGGUCUGGUAUCGAUUUAAUUGUUAAUUUUGUAACAGUUAUCAUGUUGUUCAAUGUUCUUUGUUGCAUUUGACCGAAUUUUAGACCAAUGCAGGGUCGUAGCUGGUCCAAACCCAAAGUAUCUGUGCUAAUAACUGCAGAAAACACAUUCUUGCAAUUUCAUUUAAUUUAGUCUUUGUUAAUAAAUCAAUGUCAGAGCAAAAGAAAUUUAAGAAUUUUAAAGUGCAAGUCUUAAUUUAAGACUUGAAAUGUGUUGGCAAAUUUUGGCUCAUAUUUUUGUUUGGUUAUACGGAAUGCCUUAUUUCUUCAUCUCUUACACAUAUUCAUAUUAUUUAAACCACUUUUAACAGGUUGUGAUUGUUUUUAAAAUUAUAUCUGUGUGAGAGUUUUACAACAUAUUUGUACUUAUAUACAUAAUAUUUGUUCUUUUUUAUACUUCCAUUUAUAUUUUUCUUGUAUUAAAAGUAUUUCUGGUUGUUGACUUUGGAAAUGUAAACUUUGUAUGGAAUAUUAAAUUAAUUCGAUUUCCAUGGUUUAAUGUUUUACAGGUCCUGUUAGUUUGGACUCGAAAUAUCCAUAGAUUGCGAUUUAAGUGUGCAAAUAGAUUGCGUCUACAGUGAUAGUAAUGGUCCUAUAACUACAGCUAAAUUGUGUUUUAAAAUAUUAAAUAUCGUAAAAGUGCCAUGACAUUUUGUGGCGGCUGUAAAAAGUCUUUCCAUACUUUUAGUGUUGCAAUGUUGCAAUAUUGCUUGGGAUCAUAGCGUCCAUUCAAUAAACAUAUCUAAUUGAAUUCUGCUUAAGCCAGUGCUAAGGGCUACGAGAGGUGUUGUACAUUCCAUAACCUCUCGUGAACUGACUUACUCAAACCAAGCCUACUAUUAUUUGUUUGGGUUGCAUGAUAUCAUGCUUCUGAAGGAUCUAUUGAGAGGUUUUAUUAAUUAGUUUAUACAUAAGCACAUUGAAACUGGAUUUACAAAAGCUGUUUUGUCUUUCUACUGUACAUAGCUUUUUUAAUUGUUGCCUACAGAGACCAGAAUGUUAAUAGCUCUGUGUUCCUCAUUUCCCAAUGGGCUGCUUUUAUGACACAAAAUAAAACU